AUUGAACGCUGGCGGCAUGCCUUACACAUGCAAGUCGAACGGCAGCGGGGGAGAAGCUUGCUUUUCCUGCCGGCGAGUGGCGAACGGGUGAGUAAUACAUCGGAACGUGCCCUGUAGUGGGGGAUAACUAGUCGAAAGAUUAGCUAAUACCGCAUACGACCUGAGGGUGAAAGUGGGGGACCGCGAGGCCUCAUGCUAUAGGAGCGGCCGAUGUCUGAUUAGCUAGUUGGUGGGGUAAAGGCCUACCAAGGCGACGAUCAGUAGCUGGUCUGAGAGGACGAUCGGCCACACUGGGACUGAGACACGGCCCAGACUCCUACGGGAGGCAGCAGUGGGGAAUUUUGGACAAUGGGCGAAAGCCUGAUCCAGCAAUGCCGCGUGUGUGAAGAAGGCCUUCGGGUUGUAAAGCACUUUUGUCCGGAAAGAAAUGGCUCUGGUUAAUACCUGGGGUCGAUGACGGUACCGGAAGAAUAAGGACCGGCUAACUACGUGCCAGCCGCCGCGGUAA
rnacentral:rRNA from 1 species